rnacentral:rRNA from 1 species
AUUGAACGCUGGCGGCAGGCUUAACACAUGCAAGUCGAGCGGAGAUGAGGUGCUUGCACCUUAUCUUAGCGGCGGACGGGUGAGUAAUGCUUAGGAAUCUGCCUAUUAGUGGGGGACAACAUUCCGAAAGGAAUGCUAAUACCGCAUACGUCCUACGGGAGAAAGCAGGGGAUCUUCGGACCUUGCGCUAAUAGAUGAGCCUAAGUCGGAUUAGCUAGUUGGUGGGGUAAAGGCCUACCAAGGCGACGAUCUGUAGCGGGUCUGAGAGGAUGAUCGGCCACACUGGGACUGAGACACGGCCCAGACUCCUACGGGAGGCAGCAGUGGGGAAUAUUGGACAAUGGGGGGAACCCUGAUCCAGCCAUGCCGCGUGUGUGAAGAAGGCCUUAUGGUUGUAAAGCACUUUUAGCGAGGAGGAGGCUACUGAGACUAAUACUCUUGGAUAGUGGACGUUACUCGCAGAAUAAGCACCGGCUAACUCUGUGCCAGCAGCCGCCGUAACAC